rnacentral:rRNA from 1 species
UACGUAGGGGGCUAGCGUUGUCCGGAAUCAUUGGGCGUAAAGAGCGUGUAGGCGGCCCGGUAAGUCCGCUGUGAAAGUCGGGGGGCUCAACCCUCGAAUGCCGGUGGAUACUGUCGGGCUAGAGUGCGGAAGAGGAGAGUGGAAUUCCCGGUGUAGCGGUGAAAUGCGCAGAUAUCGGGAGGAACACCUGUGGCGAAGGCGGCCCCCUGGUUGGAUACUGACGCUGAGACGCGAAAGCGUGGGGAGCAA